rnacentral:misc_RNA from 1 species
AAGGAGUCGUCUUCGUAUGCGAGUGUUUGGGUGUCAAACCCCUACGCGUAAUGAAAGUGAACGUAGGUGAGAGCUUCGGCGCAUCACCGACCGAUCCUGAUGUUCUCGGAUGGAUUUGAGUAAGAGCAUACGGGGCCGGACCCGAAAGAAGGUGAACUAUGCCUGUAUAGGGUGAAGCUAGAGGAAACUCUGGUGGAGGCUCGCAGCGGUUCUGACGUGCAAAUCGAUCGUCAAAUAUGGGCACGGGGGCGAAAGACUAAUCGAACCUUCUAGUAGCUGGUUUCCGC